rnacentral:rRNA from 1 species
CCGAAAGACCAAGGGUUCCUGGGCCAGGCCAGUCCGCCCAGGGUGAGUCGGGACCUAAGGCGAGGCCGACAGGCGUAGUCGAUGGACAACGGGUUGAUAUUCCCGUACCCGUGUGUGGGCGCCCGUGACGAAUCAGCGGUACUAACCACCCAAAACCGGAUCGAUCACUCCCCUUCGGGGGUGUGGAGUUCUGGGGCUGCGUGGGAACUUCGCUGGUAGUAGUCAAGCGAAGGGGUGACGCAGGAAGGUAGCCGUACCAGUCAGUGGUAACACUGGGGCAAGCCGGUAGGGAGAGCGAUAGGCAAAUCCGUCGCUCACUAAUCCUGAGAGGUGACGCAUAGCCGGUUGAGGCGAAUUCGGUGAUCCUCUGCUGCCAAGAAAAGCCUCUAGCGAGCACACACACGGCCCGUACCCCAAACCGACACAGGUGGUCAGGUAGAGCAUACCAAGGCGUACGAGAUAACUAUGGUUAAGGAACUCGGCAAAAUGCCCCCGUAACUUCGGGAGAAGGGGGACCGGAAUAUCGUGAACACCCUUGCGGUGGGAGCGGGAUCCGGUCGCAGAAACCAGUGAGGAGCGACUGUUUACUAAAAACACAGGUCCGUGCGAAGUCGCAAGACGAUGUAUACGGACUGACGCCUGCCCGGUGCUGGAAGGUUAAGAGGACCCGUUAACCCGCAAGGGUGAAGCGGAGAAUUUAAGCCCCAGUAAACGGCGGUGGUAACUAUAACCAUCCUAAGGUAGCGAAAUUCCUUGUCGGGUAAGUUCCGACCUGCACGAAUGGCGUAACGACUUCUCAACUGUCUCAACCAUAGACUCGGCGAAAUUGCACUACGAGUAAAGAUGCUCGUUACGCGCGGCAGGACGAAAAGACCCCGGGACCUUCACUACAACUUGGUAUUGAUGUUCGGUACGGUUUGUGUAGGAUAGGUGGGAGACUGUGAAACCUCGACGCCAGUUGGGGCGGAGUCAUUGUUGAAAUACCACUCUGAUCGUAUUGGGCAUCUAACCUCGAACCCUGAAUCGGGUUUAGGGACAGUGCCUGGCGGGUAGUUUAACUGGGGCGGUUGCCUCCUAAAAUGUAACGGAGGCGCCCAAAGGUUCCCUCAACCUGGACGGCAAUCAGGUGGCGAGUGUAAAUGCACAAGGGAGCUUGACUGCGAGACUUACAAGUCAAGCAGGGACGAAAGUCGGGAUUAGUGAUCCGGCACCCCCGAGUGGAAGGGGUGUCGCUCAACGGAUAAAAGGUACCCCGGGGAUAACAGGCUGAUCUUCCCCAAGAGUCCAUAUCGACGGGAUGGUUUGGCACCUCGAUGUCGGCUCGUCGCAUCCUGGGGCUGGAGCAGGUCCCAAGGGUUGGGCUGUUCGCCCAUUAAAGCGGCACGCGAGCUGGGUUUAGAACGUCGUGAGACAGUUCGGUCUCUAUCCGCCGCGCGCGUCAGAAACUUGAGGAAACCUGUCCCUAGUACGAGAGGACCGGGACGGACGAACCUCUGGUGCACCAGUUGUCCCGCCAGGGGCACCGCUGGAUAGCCACGUUCGGUCAGGAUAACCGCUGAAAGCAUCUAAGCGGGAAACCUUCUCCAAGAUCAGGUUUCUCACCCACUUGGUGGGAUAAGGCCCCCCGCAGAACACGGGUUCAAUAGGUCAGACCUGGAAGCUCAGUAAUGGGUGUAGGGAACUGGUGCUAACCGGCCGAAAACUUACAACACCC